rnacentral:rRNA from 1 species
CCUACGGGUGGCAGCAGUGGGGAAUAUUGGACAAUGGGGGGAACCCUGAUCCAGCGACGCCGCGUGAGUGAAGCAGUAUUUCGGUAUGUAAAGCUCUAUCAGCAGGGAAGAAAGAAAUGACGGUACCUGACUAAGAAGCCCCGGCUAACUACGUGCCAGCAGCCGCGGGAAUACGUAGGGGGCAAGCGUUAUCCGGAUUUACUGGGUGUAAAGGGAGCGUAGGCGGCGAUGCAAGUUUGAAGUGAAAGGCGGGGGCCCAACCCCCGGACUGGUUUGGAAACUGGAUGGCUGGAGUGCAGGAGAGGUAUGCGGAAUGCCGAGUGUAGCGGUGAAAUGCGUAGAGAUCGGGAGGAACACCAGUGGCGAAGGCGGCUUACUGGACUGUAACUGACGUUGAGGCUCGAAAGCGUGGGGAGCAAACAGGAUUAGAUACCCGUGUAGUC